rnacentral:rRNA from 1 species
GUAUAUGCCUAUGACAUAGCGUUAAUGCACCGGAUCCCAUUAGAACUCCGCAAUUAAGAACACUCAGGAUAGAGUAGUACUAGGAUGGGUGACCACCCAAGAAGUCCUAUUGUUUUACAUG